rnacentral:rRNA from 1 species
UACAGAGGUCUCAAGCGUUGUUCGGAUUCAUUGGGCGUAAAGGGUGCGUAGGUGGCGCUGUAAGUCGGGUGUGAAAUUUCGGAGCUUAACUCCGAAACUGCAUUCGAUACUGCGGUGCUUGAGGACUGGAGAGGAGACUGGAAUUCAUGGUGUAGCAGUGAAAUGCGCAGAUAUCAGGAGGAACACCAAUGGCGAAGGCAGCUCGCUGGAACGGUACUGACGCUGAGGCGCGAAAGCGUGGGGAGCGAACAGG